UCACUUUGGCAGUGUAUAUACUAAAAUUAGAACUAUAUAGAGAAGAUUAGCAUGGUCGCUGUGCAAGGAUGACGUGCAAAUUAGUAAAGUGUUCCAUAUUUUU
ensembl:snRNA U6 U6 spliceosomal RNA